CCCCAGCCACAGCGUUAUAGCUACGUGAGGCCAAACUUCCUCACUUCCGGAACUGGGAGCUGAGUGACCUUCCUUUCUUGUCACCGGCCUUUUAUUACAGCAAAGCCAGAUGGACAGAGCCAUCUUCCUGGAAGUAGCAAUUGACAAUUGAAGGGUUGAGCGACAAAGAAGAGAGGGGCAGGCAUGAUGGCGCAUGGCUGGAAUCCCAGCAUUCAGAAGGCUGAGCAGGAGGAUCACCGAGAGAUGGAGGCGGGUCUGGGCUAGACAGUGAAUUCAAGGCCAGCCUGCACUACUUGGUGAGACUCUGUCCCGAAAGGAAAAACAAAAGAAGAAGAAGAGAAGGAAGAGCUAUGUGCAGAGAUCAGGGUUCAGAGAGAACACAUCAAUGAAAAGCAGUUUUAUGGCUCUCAAACCAUCUUCAUCAAAGAGGCCAAGACAAAAUACUUCAAAGACAAGGUUAUCUACUCUCUCUGCAGUUUCUAAAAGCACAGAUGAAAAUUGUCUAAGUAGAAAUAAUACUCAACUUGAACAAAUACACACUGGGUAGUAAAAAAAGUACAAGGAAGGUUAUUUGUCCUUGGCUUGCCUUCCACUGUGAACACACAUGCUCUGGGUCCUUGGUGUGCGUUGUAUGAAGAACACUCUCUAAUGCCUCCAUUAGACCCCAGGAAGCUGUGCAGGAUUUGGGGAGAUGACCUUGCUGUCAGUCGUCUUCUUUGUGCUCCUUACAGAACUGUGAAAAUGGGAUUUUGCAUGUUUUACUGCAGUGAAAACAAAGUGUAGAAGUAAACGCAAUCCUAUACUGUUGUGAGGAUGUAAUUCAUUGGCAAUGGUUGCUCUUAACUCAAUGCAAGCUAAAAAGACACAAAAGCAAUGUUCUUGCAUUUUAGUCCCUUG